rnacentral:rRNA from 1 species
UACGUAGGUGGCAAGCGUUGUCCGGAUUUAUUGGGCGUAAAGCGCGCGCAGGCGGUCCGUUACGUCCGGGGUGAAAUCUCCCGGCUCAACUGGGAGGGGUCUCUGGAUACGGGCGGACUUGAGGAGAGCAGAGGUGAGUGGAAUUCUCGGUGUAGUGGUGAAAUGCGUAGAUAUCGAGAGGAACACCAGUGGCGAAGGCGGCUCACUGGGCUCCACCUGACGCUGAGGCGCGAAAGCGUGGGGAGCGAACCGG